rnacentral:rRNA from 1 species
AUUGAACGCUGGCGGCAUGCUUUACACAUGCAAGUCGGACGGCAGCACAGAGAAGCUUGCUUCUUGGGUGGCGAGUGGCGAACGGGUGAGUAACAUAUCGGAACGUACCGAGCAGUGGGGGAUAACUAAUCGAAAGAUUAGCUAAUACCGCAUAUCUUCUGAGGAAGAAAGCAGGGGACUAUUUGGCCUGCGCUGUUUGAGCGGCCGAUAUCUGAUUAGCUAGUUGGUGGGGUAAAGGCCUACCAAGGCGACGAUCAGUAGCGGGUCUGAGAGGAUGAUCCGCCACACUGGGACUGAGACACGGCCCAGACUCCUACGGGAGGCAGCAGUGGGGAAUUUUGGACAAUGGGCGCAAGCCUGAUCCAGCCAUGCCGCGUGUCUGAAGAAGGCCUUCGGGUUGUAAAGGACUUUUGUCAGGGAAGAAAAGGGCGGGGUUAAUACCCCUGUCUGA